AAAGCGUGCGCAGGCGGUUAUGCAAGACAGAUGUGAAAUCCCCGGGCUCAACCUGGGAACUGCAUUUGUGACUGCAUGGCUAGAGUACGGUAGAGGGGGAUGGAAUUCCGCGUGUAGCAGUGAAAUGCGUAGAUAUGCGGAGGAACACCGAUGGCGAAGGCAAUCCCCUGGACCUGUACUGACGCUCAUGCACGAAAGCGUGGGGAGCAAACAGGAUUAGAUACCCGGGU
rnacentral:rRNA from 1 species